ensembl:lncRNA
GAGCAGGUAGCCUAGUGGUUAGAGCAGGUAGCCUAGUGGUUAGAGACAGGUAGCCUAGUGGUUAGAGCAGGUAGCCUAGUGGUUAGAGCAGGUAGCCUAGUGGUUAGAGCAGGUAGCCUAGUGGUUAGAGACAGGUAGCCUAGUGGUUAGAGCAGGUAGCCUAGUGGUUAGAGGCAGGUAGCCUAGUGGUUAGAGACAGGUAGCCUAGUGGUUAGAGCAGGUAGCCUAGUGGUUAGAGCAGGUAGCCUAGUGGUUAGAGACAGGUAGCCUAGUGGUUAGAGACAGGGAGCCUAGUGGUUAGAGCA